UACGUAGGUGGCGAGCGUUGUCCGGAAUUACUGGGUGUAAAGCGCGUGUAGGCGGGAGGCCAAGUCUGCUGUGAAAUCGCCCGCUCAACUGGGCGGGGUCGGUGGAAACUGGUCACCUGGAGGACGGUAGAGGCGAGUGGGAAUUCCCGGUGUAGUGGUGAAAUGCGUAGAGAUCGGGAGGAACACCAGUGGCGAAGGCGGCUCGCUGGGCCGGCCC
rnacentral:rRNA from 1 species